rnacentral:lncRNA from 1 species
GUCAUGCAUAAAGGAGCUUAACAACUAGAUUUAAACUCCAAAAACAACAUCCAAAGCAUGCAUAGAUAGCUUAUGACCCACAUAGGCCAAAAUCAUCAAAACACCCCAUAAUCUCACUUGCUCUUUCCCAAUCAUGCAUACACUCUCCCACAUGUAUAAACUAACUUAAACUUUCAACAUAACAUCACAUAAACAUGCAUUGGGCAU